rnacentral:rRNA from 1 species
GAUGGACGCUGGCGGCGUGCCUAAUACAUGCAAGUCGAGCGAACAGACGAGGAGCUUGCUCCUCUGACGUUAGCGGCGGACGGGUGAGUAACACGUGGAUAACCUACCUAUAAGACUGGGAUAACUUCGGGAAACCGGAGCUAAUACCGGAUAAUAUAUUGAACCGCAUGGUUCAAUAGUGAAAGACGGUUUUGCUGUCACUUAUAGAUGGAUCCGCGCCGCAUUAGCUAGUUGGUAAGGUAACGGCUUACCAAGGCAACGAUGCGUAGCCGACCUGAGAGGGUGAUCGGCCACACUGGAACUGAGACACGGUCCAGACUCCUACGGGAGGCAGCAGUAGGGAAUCUUCCGCAAUGGGCGAAAGCCUGACGGAGCAACGCCGCGUGAGUGAUGAGGGUCUUCGGAUCGUAAAACUCUGUUAUUAGGGAAGAACAAAUGUGUAAGUAACUAUGCACGUCUUGACGGUACCUAAUCAGAAAGCCACGGCUAACUACGUG